rnacentral:misc_RNA from 1 species
AAGUCGUAACAAGGUUUCCGUAGGUGAACCUGCGGAAGGAUCAAUACGAAGAGGAUGAGUGGGGAGAGUGGGGAUAUGUUGAAAUACUAGAAGAACUUAUGACAUUUUACACACACAACAACACACAACUCAUAACAAUGGAUCUCUGGGCUCUU